AACCACACUAUCAAUAAAUAGAUUCACCCGUGAGAUGACGUGGUUGUUCCACAUAGGACAAUGACGUGCAUCCUAUUACCAGCCAUCUCACGAAAUUAGUAGGAUGCCACGUCCUCAUCCUAGGUGAAACAACCACGUCAUCUCACAGGUGAAUCCAUUCAUUGAUAUUGUGGUU
rfam:Oryza barthii chromosome 1, whole genome shotgun sequence.